AAUCCAAUUAUCAAAAAACAAAAUAAAAAACACAAUAAGUUCUUUUGGUUUGCACUAGGAUGCGAAAGAAAAUAAUCCCCGCGCUUGCUUUCUGUCUGUGUGGCAGCCCAGAUUGAAUAGGGGACGACAUCU